rnacentral:rRNA from 1 species
GUGGGGAAUCUUGCGCAAUGGGCGAAAGCCUGACGCAGCCAUGCCGCGUGAAUGAUGAAGGUCUUAGGAUUGUAAAAUUCUUUCACCGGGGACGAUAAUGACGGUACCCGGAGAAGAAGCCCCGGCUAACUUCGUGCCAGCAGCCGCGGUAAUACGAAGGGGGCUAGCGUUGCUCGGAAUUACUGGGCGUAAAGGUCGCGUAGGCGGACAGUUUAGUCAGAGGUGAAAGCCCAGGGCUCAACCUUGGAAUUGCCUUUGAUACUGGCUGUCUGGAGUACGGGAGAGGUGAGUGGAACUCCGAGUGUAGAGGUGAAAUUCGUAGAUAUUCGGAAGAACACCAGUGGCGAAGGCGACUCACUGGCCCGUUACUGACGCUGAGGCGCGAAAGCGUGGGGAGCAAACAGGAUUAGAAACCCGGGUAGUCC